UAUCUGAGCAGCAAACUGAGCUGAUCCUUCUGGAGAAAGGAUGGUCGGACAGCCAAGACCUAUUGGUUCAGAAAAGAUGCAACAUUGAGCUCAGGAAAGGACUACAGGUGCAGCAAGACGUGAAUUUCUGAAGCUGGGUAACAGGGUACUAGAAACAGUGCUUGAGGGGAUUAGGAAGGAUCAUCUCAGUGUGGCAGGGAGAGCGCAUGUAUGGGAUGAUCUGACCGCUGUGCUCACUUGGAUGUGCUCAAUGACCAGAGAAUCCACAUCUAAGCUCCUAAGUUCAGCAUUACCCUCUGCAUUUUUGAGCAUGUGCAGUAAAAAUUCAGCACUCUUUUUGGGCCACUGACCCUGCGUCCAGCCCCACUGUUUGGCCUCGGCACACCUAC